AUCUGGAUGACGAGUCCCAAAUAGGAUGAAAGGCACAUCCUGGAU
rnacentral:hammerhead_ribozyme from 1 species